CUGCCAGCUGCAACAGACAAAUCGCCGAGGCGGGGGAGACAUUCAGGGAAUCGGGAUGCUGAAGCCUCGGGGUCCCCAUUCCCGAGCCCAACCCGCGCGCCGCCUGCGCGUGGCGCAGUUACUUUGGGAGUGAGCUUGGAAGUCUUCAGCUGAGACCACAACGCCAGCCAACACCUUGACAGCAGCUGGAAGAGCCACUGAGCCUGGGGCACCCAGCUAAGCAGUGCCCAACUGGUGACCCACAGAAACUACGAGAUAAUAAGCCCCUAGGAAGUAUCCAGAGUGACAGGACGGGAGAAGGGAGAGUCUGGGAAAUGCUGGGAAACUACGCCUGUGGCUUGAAAACCCACCACACUUGACGUGGAGUGGAACAAGCCUGGGAUCCGGAGGCAGGGAUGCGGGUCUGGACUCUGCUACUCGUCGGCUGCGCCCUCAGCAAGUCAUGUUAUUUCUCCAAGAGUCACUUCCCUCUAUCAAGAGCAUGAGGGGGCUAGACUUCAGCGGGAAACCGUGCCACGAGUGGGCUGCUUCGGGAUGAACCACGGAGCUCACUGCUCUUCACAUUCCUGCCCCUAACACUCACCCCAGGCCGGGGCAGGAGGCCAGAGGUGGGGCCUUGGAAUCUGUAUUUCUAAAGUGACCGGCUCCCGGAGGUCCAUCCAGGAAUGGGAAUCCUGAACUACAUCCUCUCAAAGGAUAUUUCCAUUUUCAUACUGUAAUUAUCAAGACGUUUCCAUUUUUGCCUAUUCUACUUUGCAUGUACAUUAUAAAAACAUACAAAAAAAAUUACAAUUCUAAAGGAUGA